GAUGAACGCUGGCGGCGUGCCUAAUACAUGCAAGUCGAGCGAACAGACGAGGAGCUUGCUCCUCUGACGUUAGCGGCGGACGGGUGAGUAACACGUGGAUAACCUACCUAUAAGACUGGGAUAACUUCGGGAAACCGGAGCUAAUACCGGAUAAUAUAUUGAACCGCAUGGUUCAAUAGUGAAAGACGGUUUUGCUGUCACUUAUAGAUGGAUCCGCGCCGCAUUAGCUAGUUGGUAAGGUAACGGCUUACCAAGGCAACGAUGCGUAGCCGACCUGAGAGAGUGAUCGGCCACACUGGAGCUGGGACACGGUCCAGGCUCCUACGGGAGGCAGCAGUAGGGUAUCUUCCGCAAUGGGCGAAAGCCUUACGGAGCAACGUCGCGUGAGUGAUGAAGGUCUUCGGAUCGUAAAACUCUGUUAUUAGUGAAGAACAAAUGUGUAAGUAACUAUGCACGUCUUGACGGUACCUAAUCAGAAAGCCACGGCUAACUACGUG
rnacentral:rRNA from 1 species